rnacentral:rRNA from 1 species
CCUACGGGAGGCAGCAGUGAGGAAUAUUGCGCAAUGGAGGCAACUCUGACGCAGCCAUGCCGCGUGCAGGAAGAAGGCGCUACGCGUUGUAAACUGCUUUUAACCGGGAAGAAACCCCAGGACGUGUCCUGGGUUGACGGUACCGGAGGAAUAAGCACCGGCUAACUUCGUGCCAGCAGCCGCGGUAAUACGAAGGGUGCAAGCGUUAUCCGGAUUCAUUGGGUUUAAGGGGUGCGUAGGUGGGGCGAUAAGUCAGUGGUGAAAUCCUGCGGCUUAACCGUAGAAUUGCCAUUGAUACUGUCGCUCUUGAGUACGCUUGACGUGGGCGGAAUGUGCCGUGUAGCGGUGAAAUGCUUAGAUAUGGCACAGAACACCGAUAGUGAAGACAGCUCACGAAGGCGAAACUGACACUGAGGCACGAAAGCGUGGGGAUCGAACAGGAUUAGAUACCCUGGUAGUCCACGCCGUAAACGAUGAUCACUCGUGAUUGGCGAUAUACGGUCAGUCACCCAGCGAAAGCGUUAAGUGAUCCACCUGGGGAGUACGAUCGCAAGAUUGAAACUCAAAUGAAUUGACGG